AGUGAGGACAAAAGAUAGAAAAUCAUGUUUCUGAAGAUAGAAGACUUAGCUGACCCAAUUCAAAUUAAGCCAACCCAAAUAGGGAGUGAGUCGAUCUAGAGAAUUAGUGAGCCGACCUAGUCUCAGAAGAUAGAUAGGACAGAUAUGUGAAAUUUUAGAUCAGAUCUGAUGAGCCAACCAAGUGGUCACUAAGUCAACUCAGAGAUCAACUAAGCCGACCUAGACAGGGAUAGAGCCGACCAAGUCACAGUGAAGCA
rnacentral:lncRNA from 1 species